rnacentral:rRNA from 1 species
UACGUAGGGGGCAAGCGUUGUCCGGAUUUAUUGGGCGUAAAGAGCGUGUAGGCGGCUUCGCAAGUUGGAUGUGAAAUCCCACGGCUCAACCGUGGACGUGCAUCCAAAACUGCGUCGCUAGAGUCUCGGAGAGGAAGGUGGAAUGCUUGGUGUAGAGGUGAAAUUCGUAGAUAUCAAGCAGAACACCUGCGGCGAAGGCGGCCUUCUGGACGAUGACUGACGCUGAGACACGAAAGCGUGGGGAGCAAACAGG